rnacentral:rRNA from 1 species
UACGGGGGGGGCAAGCGUUGUUCGGAAUUACUGGGCGUAAAGGGCUCGUAGGCGGCCAACUAAGUCAGACGUGAAAUCCCUCGGCUUAACCGGGGAACUGCGUCUGAUACUGGAUGGCUUGAGUUUGGGAGAGGGAUGCGGAAUUCCAGGUGUAGCGGUGAAAUGCGUAGAUAUCUGGAGGAACACCGGUGGCGAAGGCGGCAUCCUGGACCGGUAUUGACGCUGAGGCGCGAAAGCCAGGGGAGCAAACGGG